rnacentral:rRNA from 1 species
GAUGAACGCUGGCGGCGUGCCUAAUACAUGCAAGUCGAGCGAACGGACGAGAAGCUUGCUUUUCUGAUGUUAGCGGCGGACGGGUGAGUAACACGUGGAUAACCUACCUAUAAGACUGGGAUAACUUCGGGAAACCGGAGCUAAUACCGGAUAAUAUUUUGAACCGCAUGCUUCAAAAGUGAAAGACGGUCUUGCCGUCACUUAUAGAUGGAUCCGCGCUGCAUUAGCUAGUUGGUAAGGUAACGGCUUACCAAGGCAACGAUGCAUAGCCGACCUGAGAGGGUGAUCGGCCACACUGGAACUGAGACACGGUCCAGACUCCUACGGGAGGCAGCAGUAGGGAAUCUUCCGCAAUGGGCGAAAGCCUGACGGAGCAACGCCGCGUGAGUGAUGAAGGUCUUCGGAUCGUAAAACUCUGUUAUUAGGGAAGAACAUAUGUGUAAGUAACUGUGCACAUCUUGACGGUACCUAAUCAGAAAGCCACGGCUAACUACGUG